rnacentral:lncRNA from 1 species
CAAUUACCUGCAGGGAAUAUAUGGUAUCUCCCUAUGUACAAAGCACAGAUAUUUCCAAAACUACCUACAGUAGGAACGAAAUAUUUGAGUUCCAGGCAUCACUGGGGCUAUUGUCUAAUGCUGCUUUUCUUAACUGAUUUGCGCUUUUCUUUUCUCUGAUAAUUUUACAGUAAUAUAAGGUUUGGUGAAGAAUCUUUUCGGGUCAUUUUUAUUAGUUGCAGAACAUGAGUAGUGCUAUAAAUAUUGUCAUGUUUGGAGGACAAUAAGGCAGAUUCAGUUUUCUUCAUAAAUAAAUCUUACUUGCAAACUGUCUUGGCCACAAAUUUGGUCCCCAUGUUUAUCCAUAUUUUUCUUCAAAAACAAGGAGCUUUCUUAGAAUUCUAGGAUAUAUGGCAUUCAAAUCUAAUUUAAGGAGCCAAACUGUUAUAAAUUCUGGGGUUUUAUUUGCUGAGCCUUAUGUUUUGGUACCAGACCGUUUGAUACUUGAAAUGUCUCGGUUUUCAAAUUUGAAAGGAAGGGGUGAUAUGAGAGACAGUGUCUGAGCAUUAAGAGUCAGCCACUUGGUUAAUUUACUGAAAGUGAUGGUUUCCAAGAACAGAAAACCAAACACUGCGUGUUCUCACUCAUAAGUGGGAGCUGAACAAUAAGAACACAUUGACACAGGGAGGGGAAUAUCACACACCAAGGCCUGUCAAGGGGUGCGGGGCUAGGGGAGGGAUAGCAUUAGGAGAAAUACCUAAUGUAGAUGACGGGUUGAUGGGUGCAGCACACACACAUGCACACACAUAUAUAUAUAAAGAAAUGUUCCCAUCAUUAAUAUAGAAAUGAUACUCAAGGUGAUGCUUAACCUAAAUAUCCUGACUUAAUCAUUACACAUUUUCUGCAUCUAACAAAUAUCACACAUACUCCAUAAAUUUGUCCAAAUGUUAUGUUAUGUAUCAAUAAAAAAAUUAAAAAAAGAGCCACUGGAAUUUUGACAUAGUCUCUAUUUUUAGGUGUAGCAAGCACUAGGCAAGUUUAUGAAACAAGUGAAAUUUGUCUUAUUUAUUCCUCCAGUCUCCUAAUUCUUAUUGUUGUCUGUUCUUACUGACUCCAUUACUCCCCUCCCUGGAGGAACCCAGAGGAUCCAUGCUCACUCUACUUAUUUUCCCAUCCAAACUAUUAACAAUGGAUCCAUUAUAAAAUUAUACUAUAGCUGGUUUUUCAAAGUGCAGUUGGAGUUAUUUCAGAGGCAUGCUAAAAAUGUAGAUUCCCAGCCUUACUCUAUUGGGAUAUCAGGAGAUAGAGCUUGGAAAUCUGCAUGUUAUAAAACUUUCCAGGUAAAUAUUAGGCUUGAUAAAUUUGAAACUACUAAUUCAAAGAAUUAUCUCCCCAAAGACAUUUGCCUUUUAAUAGUAUUUUUUUUUUAAACUAAAGAAUAAAACUGUAGUUAUGCAAUUUUAGGCAUUUUUGUGUUAUUGGUUUGUCUUAGUCUUUUUGUGCUGCUAUAACAAAAUACCUGAGACUGGGUAAUUUAUAAAGAAUGGAAAAUUAUUUCCUCAGAGUUCUGGAGGCUGGGAGUCCAAGCUCAAAACAAGGUCAUGUGGUGAGGGCCUUCUUGCCAUGUCAUUAUGUGGCAGAAGGCAGAAGGGCAAAGCAAGCAAGAGAGCAAACCUGUUACAGCAAAGGGGUCCAGAUCCAUACCCCAAGAGAGGGUUCUUCAAUCUUGCACAAGAAAGAAUUCAGGGGAAGUCUGUAGAGUGAGGUGAAAGCAAAUUUAUUAAGAAAGUAAAGGAACAAAAGAAUGGCUACUCCAUAGACAGAGCAGCCCUGAGGGCUGCUGUUUGCCCAUUUUUAUGGUUGUUUCUUGAUGAUAUGCUAAACAAGGGGUAGAUUAUUCAUGCCUCCUCCUCCUUUUAGACCAUAUUAUGUAACUUCCUGAUGUUGCCAUGGCAUUUGUAAACUGUCAUGGCGCUGGUGGGAGUGUAGCAGUGAGGACGAGAGAGGUCACUCUCAUCACCACCAUCUUGGUUUUGGUGGGUUUUGGCCAGUUUUUUUACUACAGCCUGUUUUACCAGAAAGGUCUUUAUGACCUGUAUCUUGUUCUGACUUUCUAUUUCAUCCUGUAGCUUACAAUGUCUUUAACCAUCUGGGAAUGCAGCCCAGCAGAUCUCAGCCUCAUUUUACCCAGCUCCUAUUUAAGAUGGAGUUGCUCUGGUUCAAAUGCCUCUGACAAACCCACAUCUGCCAGCCCUUUUAAUAAAUACAUUAAUCAAUUUAUAAGAGUGGAAUCCUCAUUACUGUGGACAAAAAAGAGUCAAACUAUGUAAAAUACUUGAAGAGGUUUAUUCUGAGCCAAAUGUGAGCGCCAUUACCCAUGACAUAGCCCCAAGACAUCCUGAAAAGUGUGCCCAAGGUGGUCUGGUUACAGCUUGAUUUUAUACAUUUUAGGGGAAAAGAAGUUACAGGCAGAGACAUAAAUCAAUAGAUGUUAGGUGUACAUUGGUUCAGCCUGGAAAACGGGACAUCUUGAAGCCAGGUAGCUGCGUGUGGGUUAGGGUGGGAGGGGUGGAGGGGGGUGAGGGUUGGAGAUAACUUUCAGGUCAUAGGUGGAUUUAAAGAUUUCCUGAUUGAAAAUUUUUUGAAAGGGCUAAACUCUGCCUGAAGAGUUGAAGUCAGCGGAAAAAAAAUCUAGUUAAGAUAAGGGUGGUUGUGGAAGCCUAGGCCUAGGUUUUUGUUAUGUAGAUGAAGCCUCCAGGUAGCAGGCUUCAAAGAAAAACAGAUGGUAAAUGUCUCUGAUCAGACCCUAAAAGACUGUUAGUUAAUCUCUCCUGGAUCAGGAAAGGACCCAAAAAGGGAAGAGGAUUUUCUUUUCCUUUGAAAACCCAUUAAAACUUUGGAGGGAACAAAAAUACUGAAACCCCAGCAUGGUUUUUUUUUUUUUUUUUUUUUUUUUUUUAAAUACUAUAGAAAUCAGACCAUGGUAGCUAGCAUGGACAUAUGGACAUUCCUGGUUAAAUAAUUCUAGGAAAAAAAUCAUUGAUUUUAGGAUCUGAAGAAUUCUACCUAAAUAAAUACUCCAUGUGUUACAAGUAACAAGAAAUUUAAUUGAUUGGCUAGUUUCUUGGAAAUCUUAGAUCAUAUACAAAGUUAUAUCUCCAGCUAAAUAUGUUAGAAAAUAGCAUUUCUUUAGUUUUCUAAAGAGAAGAAAAAACAGGCAAAUAUCAAUAGAUUGAAUUUAAGCUACAUGCUAGGAUGAACUUCUGUAUCUUUUUGAAAAGCAAAAUGUGUCUUUGAGGCAAUUAUCAGGAUAAUUUAAGCUUAAAAAUCAUUCACUUGAAAUAUCCACAGUCAUGAAAAUGAUAAUUUUUAGGAAACAUAUUAUUCUGAUAGCUUCUUCAAUACAUUCAAUCACUUUAUGGGGGAUUAAUGUAGACUAGAAACACAAGAACUUGACAUGUUUUCCAAGGAAUUUAUGGAUUUUCUAUUUCUUUCCUUGAAGUUCCCAGAUAAGUUUACCAAGAGUGAUUCUAAAUGCAAAAUUAGUGCAUCCAAUUAAUUCAUUAAAAGGUGGUUGAAUUCAGUUAAGUGAUUAUUUAUUUUGGACGUUGGAGGGUAGAAGGAGUAUGCCCUUAAUUACACCAAAUUACCAAUUUGGUCGAUUUCUUCAUUUUUAGUGAGUUGUUUUGGCAAGGUGGGAUAAUGGCUCGGUUUAUGUGAUCUAUCAUUUGAAAAGUAUAUAAUUUUUCUGAAUGCUAGUCAGAGCACUUCAUAAUGCUGCUAAUGGCUAACUGGAGGUUCAAUAUGCUGAUGCAUCUGCUUCCUAAUGAGACUUUUACCUUGACAAAGUGAGAAAUGUCACCUUGGGUCAGUCCCAGUUUUAGCCGACUCAGAACUCUGCCUCAGGUAAUGGAAAUAAGGAAUUGAUUUAGGGAGAGCAUAGGGAAUAUUUUCCUUGGUGUUUACCCAGGACUGUUUUGUUUGAAACAAAAAAUGAGUUAUAUUUUAUGUAAAUAAAGUAUCAGGCCAUGAUAAAGAUGUUAAAUGUCUGUAUCAAUAACAAUAAAAAGCCAAGAAAUUGAAUUUUUCAGU